rnacentral:tRNA from 1 species
GGGGUGAUGCCGGAAGAAGUGGCAGGUCAUGCAGACCUGGCGGCUCCGGCUUGUGCGGAGCACCUCCUGAUCGAGCCAGGGCCACUCCUC